GAUGAAGAACGUAGCGAAAUGCGAUAAGUAAUGUGAAUUGCAGAAUUCAGUGAAUCAUCGAAUCUUUGAACGCACAUUGCGCCCGUCAGUAUUCUGGCGGGCAUGCCUGUUCGAGCGUCAUUACGCCCCUCAAGUCCCCUGUGGACUUGGUGUUGGGGAUCGGCGAGGCUGGUUUUCCAGCACAGCCGUCCCUUAAAUUAAUUGGCGGUCUCGCCGUGGCCCUCCUCUGCGCAGUAGUAAAACACUCGCAACAGGAGCCCGGCGCGGUCGACUGCCGUAAAACCCCCCAACUUUUUAUAGUUGACCUCGAAUCAGGUAGGACUACCCGCUGAACUUAAGCAUAUCAAUAACGGAGGA
rnacentral:misc_RNA from 1 species